rnacentral:rRNA from 1 species
GGAGUCUAGCAUGUGCGCGAGUCAUUGGGACUAGCGAAACCUAAAGGCGAAAUGAAAGUGAAGGUCGGCCUCGCGCCAACCUAGGGAGGAUGGGUCGCGUCACCGCGCGACCCCGCACUCCCGGGGCGUCUCGUUCUCAUCGCGAGAAGAGGCGCACCCAGAGCGUACACGCUGGGACCCGAAAGAUGGUGAACUAUGCCUGGUCAGGACGAAGUCAGGGGAAACCCUGAUGGAGGUCCGAAGCGAUUCUGACGUGCAAAUCGAUCGUCGGAACUGGGUAUAGGGGCGAAAGACUAAUCGAACCAUCUAGUAGCUGGUUCCCUCCGAAGUUUCCCUCAGGAUAGCUGGCGCUCGCUUUUGCGAGUCUCAUCUGGUAAAGCGAAUGAUUAGAGGCAUUGGGGUCGAAACGGCCUCAACCUAUUCUCAAACUUUAAAUGGGUGAGAUCUCCGGCUUGCUUGAACAGUGAAGCCGCGAGAUCGGAUCAGAGUGCCAAGUGGGCCAUUUUUGGUAAGCAGAACUGGCGCUGUGGGAUGAACCAAACGCAGAGUUAAAGCUCCUAAAUCGACGCUUAUGGGAUACCAUGAAAGGCGUUGGUAACUUAAGACAGCAGGACGGUGGCCAUGGAA